UACGUAGGGUGCGAGCGUUGUCCGGAAUUAUUGGGCGUAAAGAGCUCGUAGGCGGUUUGUCACGUCUGCUGUGAAAUCCCGAGGCUCAACCUCGGGCCUGCAGUGGAUACGGGCAGACUAGAGUGCGGUAGGGGAGACUGGAAUUCCUGGUGUAGCGGUGGAAUGCGCAGAUAUCAGGAGGAACACCGAUGGCGAAGGCAGGUCUCUGGGCCGCAACUGACGCUGAGGAGCGAAAGCAUGGGGAGCGAACAGG
rnacentral:rRNA from 1 species